CGGGGUGUAGCGUAACCUGGAUAGCGCGUCUGCAUGGGGUGCAGAAGGUUGCUGGUUCAAAUCCAGUCACCCCGA
rnacentral:tRNA from 1 species